rnacentral:rRNA from 1 species
CCCUUAGAUGUUCUGGGCUGCACGCGCGCGACAAUGACGUUUGCAACGAGAUACGAGACCGAAAGGUUAAGUUGAUCUAGCAAGCUGCGUCGUGAUAGGGACUGUCGAUUGCAAUUAUUCGACACGAACGAGGAAUUCCUUGUAAUCGCACAUCAUCAGUGUGCGCUGAAUACGUCCCUGCCCUUUGUACACACCGCCCGUCGCUCCUACCGAUCGAGUGAUCCGGUGAAUGUUUUGGAUCGGUUGCAAGUUGCGCGACGCGCUUCUUGCAUGCUGUGAAAUCAUGUAAGCCUUAUUGCUUAGAGGAAGGAGAAGUCGUAACA